rnacentral:rRNA from 1 species
UGCAAGUCGACGAGAAACGCCUUCGGGCGUGAGUAGAGUGGCGCACGGGUGAGUAACGCGUGGGAACCUACCCUGAGGUACGGAAUAACGGCUGGAAACGGCUGCUAAUACCGUAUGUGCCCUACGGGGGAAAGAUUUAUCGCCUUGGGACGGGCCCGCGUCGGAUUAGCUUGUUGGUGGGGUAACGGCCUACCAAGGCUCCGAUCCGUAGCUGGUCUGAGGGGAUGAUCAGCCACACUGGAACUGAGACACGGUCCAGACUCCUACGGGAGGCAGCAGUGGGGAAUGUUGCGCAAUGGGGGAAACCCUGACGCAGCCAUGCCGCGUGAGUGAAGAAGGUCUUCGGAUUGUAAAGCUCUUUCAACGGGGAAGAUGAUGACGGUACCCGUAGAAGAAGCCCCGGCUAACUUCGUGCCAGCAGCCGCGGUAAUACGAAGGGGGCUAGCGUUGUUCGGAAUUACUGGGCGUAAAGGGCGUGUAGGCGGUGCGAUCAGUCAGAGGUGAAAGCCCCGGGCUCAACCUGGGAAUUGCCUUUGAUACUGUCGCACUAGAGUUCGGGAGAGGGUAGUGGAAUUCCCAGUGUAGAGGUGAAAUUCGUAGAUAUUGGGAAGAACACCGGUGGCGAAGGCGGCUACCUGGACCGAUACUGACGCUGAGGCGCGAAAGCGUGGGGAGCAAACAGGAUUAGAUACCCUGGUAGUCCACGCCGUAAACGAUGUCUGCUAGUCGUUGG